rnacentral:lncRNA from 1 species
AUAAGGCAAGUAGCUUUCACCGAAAAUCCUUCUGUCUCCCCAACCACUGCCAAAAGUUUCCACCUCCACUUUGCUAGGAGACUUAAAUUGAGCUAUUUGCAUAAAGCUCCAACCUUUCUUCUCUUCUAUAAAUUAGGGUACUCAAUUUUAAAACCAAUGCAAACUGAAUCUGCACAAACAAUGAACUACAAGAAAAUUUAUGUCAACAAAUAAACUUAAAGCCUCAUAAACCAAAUUGGUAAAGAGAGUAAAGAAAAGUAGUACCCAGAAAAGAGAGAGAUGAACAGAGAUUACCAAGAAAUCAAACUAAUCAUAGAGUAAAAAUUAUGGUUGUAGAUCUUGAAAAAUCGAGUAAGAAAAUCAAUAUGUUGGAUUGAUAAAUAUCAAAUUAGGUUUUGAAGAAAGGAAAAGGAACAGUGAAGUUAUGGUUGUUGAUGGAGGAAAGGCCGCAAUAAUCAUGAGAGAAUGAGUGGGUUGCUUCCAUUCCUGAAUUUCACAAUUUUUGCGCUUUGAGACGAUAAUAAGCAAAGACCAAAGAUGAGGUUAAGCAGUUUGUUUCUUAACAAAAAAAUAUAAAAUAAAGGAUUCGUUGUUAUCGUGAAAACAUCCUUCGUAGGAAUAAGCAUUUUCC